rnacentral:rRNA from 1 species
GACGAACGCUGGCGGCGUGCCUAAUACAUGCAAGUCGAGCGGACUGAAUGGGAGCUUGCUCUUGUUCGGUCAGCGGCGGACGGGUGAGUAACACGUGGGCAACCUGCCCGCAAGACCGGGAUAACUCCGGGAAACCGGAGCUAAUACCGGAUAACACCGAAGACCGCAUGGUCUUUGGUUGAAAGGCGGCGCAAGCUGCCACUUGCGGAUGGGCCCGCGGCGCAUUAGCUAGUUGGUGAGGUAACGGCUCACCAAGGCGACGAUGCGUAGCCGGCCUGAGAGGGUGACCGGCCACACUGGGACGGAGACACGGCCCAGACUCCUACGGGAGGCAGCAGUAGGGAAUCUUCCGCAAUGGGCGAAAGCCUGACGGAGCGACGCCGCGUGAGCGAAGAAGGCCUUCGGGUCGUAAAGCUCUGUUGUGAGGGACGAAGGAGCGCCGUUUGAAGAAGGCGGCGCGGUGACGGUACCUCACGAGGAAGCCCCGGCUAACUACGUG